rnacentral:rRNA from 1 species
UGGUUUGAUCCUGGCUCAGGACGAACGCUAGCGGUGUGCUUUAGGCAUGCAAGUCGAGCGGUCGCCGUAAGCGGANGNCGGNCAGACGGCUGAGUAACACGUAGGAACGUACCUUUUGGCGGAGAAUAGCUUCGAGAAAUUGAAGGUAAUUCUGCAUAGUCCCGACUAUUUUUGAGAGGAAAUAAAUAAAUUGUUUUUUCUCAUAAAUGGUCGGGUAAAGGAUUUAACUAUCCACCAGAAGAGCGGCCUGCGGCUAUCAGCUUGUUGGUAGGGUAAUGGCCUACCAAGGCUAAGACGGGUAGGGGGCGUGAGAGCGUGAUCCCCCAGAAUGGAACUGAGAAACGGUCCAUACACCUACGGGUGGCAGCAACCGGGAAUCUUGCGCAAUGGGCGAAAGCUGACGCAGCGACACCGCGUGGAGGAUGAAGGCCUUCGGGUUGUAAACUUCUCUCUUAAGACUCAUUGAGUCUUGAGGUAAAAAGCACCSGCUAACUAUGUGCCAGCAGCUGCGGUGAUACAUAGGGUGCGAGCGUUGUCCGGAUUUAUUGGGCGUAAAGAGUCUGUAGGCGGAUAGGUAGGUUAUUGGUUAAAGAUCCCGGCUCAACUGGGAAAAUGCCAGUAAUACCGCUUAUCUAGUCCUCGRUAGGGGGUGCUGGAACUUACUGUGUAGGGGKGAAAUCCGUUGAUACAGUAAGGAACACCAACGGCGAAGGCGGGCMCCUGGAUCGAUGGAGACGCUGAGGGACGAAAGCUAGGGUAGCAAAUCGGAUUAGAGACCCGAGUAGYCCUAGCCCUAAAUGAUGUCCGUUACCUUUUCGUUUUGUCCUUUUGGGCAAGGUGAGAGGGGUUACUAACGCGUUAAACGGACCGCCUGGGGAGUACGGUCGCAAGGCUGAAACUCAAAGGAAUUGGCGGGGAGGCGCACAACCAGUGGAGCAUGUGGUUUAAUUCGAUACAAAGCGAAGAACCUUACCUGGGUUUGACAUCUAACCUUCUCAUUGCCUAGAAAUAGGUUAAUGUUCUACUUGUAGAAAAAGUUAGACAGCUACUGCAUGGUUGUCGUCAGCUCGUGUCGUGAGAUGUUCCCUUAAGUGGGGUAACAAGCGAAACCCCUAUUCUGUGUUGGAUUUUCACAGGAGACUGCCUUGCCGUUGGUAGGGAGGAAGGUGGGGAUGACGUCAAAUCAGCAUGGUGCUUAUAYCCAGGGCGACACACAUCCUACAAUGAGAAGCAACAAUGGGUUGCCAAGCCGCAAGGCGGAGCUAAUCCCAUCAAACCUUCUCUCAGUGGGGAUUGCAGGCUGAAACUCGCCUGCAUGAACUUGGAAUUGGUAGUAAUCGCGAAUCAGCAGGUCGCGGUGAAUACGUUCUCGCCUCUUGCACACACUGCCCGUCAAAUGAGCAAAGCUGGGGGCAGCCGAAGCCUCUUCUCUUUUAUAGGGAAGGGAUUAAGCUGAACUUAGUGAUGAGCGUUAAGUCGUAACAAGGUAGCCG